rnacentral:rRNA from 1 species
AGAGUUUGAUCCUGGCUCAGGAUGAACGCUGGCGGCGUGCUUAACACAUGCAAGUCGAACGAACCUUCGGGUUAGUGGCGGACGGGUGAGUAACGCGUGAGAAUCUGCCCUCAGGAGGGGGAUAACGGUUGGAAACGACCGCUAAUACCCCAUAUGCCGCGAGGUGAAAUGAAUUUCGCCUGAGGAUGAGCUCGCGUCUGAUUAGUUAGUUGGUGGGGUAAAGGCCUACCAAGACAUCGAUCAGUAGCUGGUCUGAGAGGAUGAUCAGCCACACUGGGACUGAGACACGGCCCAGGCUCCUACGGGAGGCAGCAGUGGGGAAUUUUCCGCAAUGGGCGAAAGCCUGACGGAGCAACGCCGCGUGAGGGAUGAAGGCCUCUGGGCUGUAAACCUCUUUUAUCAAGGAAGAAGAUCUGACGGUACUUGAUGAAUAAGCCACGGCUAAUUCCGUGCCAGCAGCCGCGGUAAUACGGGAGUGGCAAGCGUUAUCCGGAAUUAUUGGGCGUAAAGCGUCCGCAGGCGGUCUGUCAAGUCUGCUGUUAAAGCGUGGAGCUUAACUCCAUUUCGGCAGUGGAAACUGACAGACUAGAGUGUGGUAGGGGCAGAGGGAAUUCCCGGUGUAGCGGUGAAAUGCGUAGAUAUCGGGAAGAACACCAGUGGCGAAGGCGCUCUGCUGGGCCAUAACUGACGCUCAUGGACGAAAGCCAGGGGAGCGAAAGGGAUUAGAUACCCCUGUAGUCCUGGCCGUAAACGAUGAACACUAGGUGUCGGGGGAAUCGACCCCCUCGGUGUCGUAGCCAACGCGUUAAGUGUUCCGCCUGGGGAGUACGCACGCAAGUGUGAAACUCAAAGGAAUUGACGGGGGCCCGCACAAGCGGUGGAGUAUGUGGUUUAAUUCGAUGCAACGCGAAGAACCUUACCAGGGUUUGACAUCCUGCGAAUCUCUUGGAAACGAGAGAGUGCCUUCGGGAACGCAGUGACAGGUGGUGCAUGGCUGUCGUCAGCUCGUGUCGUGAGAUGUUGGGUUAAGUCCCGCAACGAGCGCAACCCACGUCGUUAGUUGCCAGCAUUUAGUUGGGCACUCUAGCGAGACCGCCGGUGAUAAACCGGAGGAAGGUGUGGAUGACGUCAAGUCAUCAUGCCCCUUACAUCCUGGGCUACACACGUACUACAAUGCUACGGACAAAGGGCAGCAAACUCGCGAGAGCUAGCAAAUCCCAUAAACCGUGGCUCAGUUCAGAUCGUAGGCUGCAACUCGCCUACGUGAAGGAGGAAUCGCUAGUAAUCGCAGGUCAGCAUACUGCGGUGAAUACGUUCCCGGGCCUUGUACACGCCGCCCGUCACACCAUGGAAGUUGGCCACGCCCGAAGCCGUUACUCCAACCCUUGUGGAGGAGGACGUCGAAGGUGGGGCUGAUGACUGGGGUGAAGUCGUAACAAGGUA